AUCAAGUUAGUUUAAAUAAAAUUCUGGGUUGUGGUCCUGGUGAUGGGGGAGUAGCCCCACUUGAUA
rnacentral:tRNA from 2 species